UCCGUAGGGGGCAAGCGUUGUCCGGAAUCAUUGGGCGUAAAGCGCGUGUAGGCGGUUCGAUAAGUCUGCUGUGAAAGUCCAGGGCUCAACCCUGGAAAGCCGGUGGAUACUGUCGGACUAGAGUGCGGAAGAGGCGAGUGGAAUUCCCGGUGUAGCGGUGAAAUGCGCAGAUAUCGGGAGGAACACCAAUUGCGAAGGCAGCUCGCUGGGACGUUACUGACGCUGAGACGCGAAAGCGUGGGGAGCAAACAGG
rnacentral:rRNA from 1 species